GGAACACAUAGCUAAUGCUAUAUGUGAUGCGACUGAUGUGAUUGCUGGUACGUUCUGCAUCUCUCCCUUCCGUACUGUUGAAUAUUUAGUUUUAACCUACAAGAAAGAUUCUGAAAAUGAAAAUGACACCUUUAUCUUAUACAUGCCCAUCCAAAACAAACUUGUCACUGACACAGAAGUUCCCUGAAACUAGAUGUGCAUAUAUCACUGAAUGCUAAAGCUAGAGGUGUUAAUAGGGUUUUGUAACUCCUAGUGGGUCUUUAGUGAUCUGUUUUUUUUUUGUUUUUUUCAUGCUGUUACACUAGUUUUGCUAUCUGAUAAAACGUGAGAGUCUUGUAAUGUUGAGACUAACCAGUUGAAGUCUUGAUUUUGAUAAGUACUUGUGAACACUAUGUUGCAGGAUCUGGCAAAGGGGUUUCAGACACACCCCUUACGCUCCAUGUGAAGAAGGCUGGUGUUCCAGAUAUUACCAUGGUUGAUCUCCCUGGGAUAACCCGGGUUCCUGUGAACGGACAGCCUGAAAACAUCUAUGAACAGAUUUCCGGGAUGGUUAUGAAGUACAUCGACCCACAGGAAUCCAUCAUCCUCAAUGUUCUGUCAGCCACAGUUGAUU
rnacentral:lncRNA from 1 species